rnacentral:rRNA from 2 species
GUGCAGUGCGGGUGCUAUACAUGCAGUCGAGCGGACAGAUGGGAGCUUGCUCCCUGAUGUUAGCGGCGGACGGGUGAGUAACACGUGGGUAACCUGCCUGUAAGACUGGGAUAACUCCGGGAAACCGGGGCUAAUACCGGAUGCUUGUUUGAACCGCAUGGUUCAAACAUAAAAGGUGGCUUCGGCUACCACUUACAGAUGGACCCGCGGCGCAUUAGCUAGUUGGUGAGGUAAUGGCUCACCAAGGCGACGAUGCGUAGCCGACCUGAGAGGGUGAUCGGCCACACUGGGACUGAGACACGGCCCAGACUCCUACGGGAGGCAGCAGUAGGGAAUCUUCCGCAAUGGACGAAAGUCUGACGGAGCAACGCCGCGUGAGUGAUGAAGGUUUUCGGAUCGUAAAGCUCUGUUGUUAGGGAAGAACAAGUACCGUUCGAAUAGGGCGGUACCUUGACGGUACCUAACCAGAAAGCCACGGCUAACUACGUGCCAGCAGCCGCGGUAAUACGUAGGUGGCAAGCGUUGUCCGGAAUUAUUGGGCGUAAAGGGCUCGCAGGCGGUUUCUUAAGUCUGAUGUGAAAGCCCCCGGCUCAACCGGGGAGGGUCAUUGGAAACUGGGGAACUUGAGUGCAGAAGAGGAGAGUGGAAUUCCACGUGUAGCGGUGAAAUGCGUAGAGAUGUGGAGGAACACCAGUGGCGAAGGCGACUCUCUGGUCUGUAACUGACGCUGAGGAGCGAAAGCGUGGGGAGCGAACAGGAUUAGAUACCCUGGUAGUCCACGCCGUAAACGAUGAGUGCUAAGUGUUAGGGGGUUUCCGCCCCUUAGUGCUGCAGCUAACGCAUUAAGCACUCCGCCUGGGGAGUACGGUCGCAAGACUGAAACUCAAAGGAAUUGACGGGGGCCCGCACAAGCGGUGGAGCAUGUGGUUUAAUUCGAAGCAACGCGAAGAACCUUACCAGGUCUUGACAUCCUCUGACAAUCCUAGAGAUAGGACGUCCCCUUCGGGGGCAAAGUGACAGGUGGUGCAUGGUUGUCGUCAGCUCCUGUCCUGAAAUGUUGGGUUAAGUCCCGCAACGAGCGCAACCCUUGAUCUUAGUUGCCAGCAUUCAGUUGGGCACUCUAAGGUGACUGCCGGUGACAAACCGGAGGAAGGUGGGGAUGACGUCAAAUCAUCAGGCCCCUUAUGACCGGGGCUAACACUGGGUACAAUGGCACGAAACAAAGGGGCCCAAAACCCCCGGGGUUAAUCCAAUCCCCCA